AUUGAACGCUGGCGGCAGGCCUAACACAUGCAAGUCGAGCGGAUGAAGGGAGCUUGCUCCUGGAUUCAGCGGCGGACGGGUGAGUAAUGCCCAGGAAUCUGCCUGGUAGUGGGGGAUAACGUCCGGAAACGGGCGCUAAUACCGCAUACGUCCAGAGGGAGAAAGUGGGGGAUCUUCGGACCUCACGCUAUCAGAUGAGCCUAGGUCGGAUUAGCUAGUUGGUGGGGUAAAGGCCUACCAAGGCGACGAUCCGUAACUGGUCUGAGAGGAUGAUCAGUCACACUGGAACUGAGACACGGUCCAGACUCCUACGGGAGGCAGCAGUGGGGAAUAUUGGACAAUGGGCGAAAGCCUGAUCCAGCCAUGCCGCGUGUGUGAAGAAGGUCUUCGGAUUGUAAAGCACUUUAAGUUGGGAGGAAGGGCAGUAAGUUAAUACCUUGCUGUUUUGACGUUACCAACAGAAUAAGCACCGGCUAACUUCGUG
rnacentral:rRNA from 1 species